rnacentral:rRNA from 1 species
GAUGAACGCUGGCGGCGUGCCUAAUACAUGCAAGUCGAGCGAACGGACGAUAAGCUUGCUUCUCGGAUGUUAGCGGCGGACGUGUGAGUAACACGUGGAUAACCUACCUAUCAUACUGGGAUAACUUCGAAAAACGGUAUCAAAUCCGGUAUAAUAUUUUGAACCCCGGUGUGGAAAAGUAAAAUCCGGCCUUCGGGGAUCGACUAGAGGGUUCCCCGCUGCUUGCGGUGGUUGUGAAGGUACCGGCUUACGAAGGCAAGGAGGCAUGGCCGACGUAAGAGGGUGGUAGCCCACCUUGGAACUGAGACACGGUCCAGACUCCUAAGGGAGGCAGCAGUCGGGAAUCUUCCGCAAAGGGCGAAAGCAUGACGGAGUAAGCCCGAGUGAGUGAUGAAGGUCUUCGGAUCGUAAAACUGUGUUAUUAGGGAUGAACAUAUGUGUAAGUAAAUGUGCACAUAUUGACGGUAACUAAUCAGAAAGCCACGGCUAACUACGUG